rnacentral:tRNA from 1 species
GCCUGUUUGGCUCAGUAGAUAGAGCAUCGGUCUGCAGACCGAAAGGUACCAGAUUAAAUUCCGGUCAAGGGCA